AUGGACAGGCUUGGUUCCACUCUCCUGCUGCUGAUGCUCCCUUCCUGGGUUCUGUCCCAGGUCACCCUGAAGGAGUCUGGCCCUGGGCUGCUGAAACCCACCCAGACCCUGUCGCUGACCUGCUCCUUCUCGGGGUUCUCACUGAGCACUAUGAACAUAGGUAUCUCCUGGAUCCGCCAGCCUCCAGGGAAGGCCCUGGAGAGGCUGGCCCUCAUAGAUUGGGAUGAUGAUAAGCAUUACAACCCAUCUCUGAAGAACCGGCUCACAAUCUCCAAAGACACCUCCAGAAACCAAGUGCUUCUAACGCUGACCAACACGGACCCUGCAGACACAGCCAUGUAUUACUGUGCAAGAGCAGCACAGAGACACAGCCCAGGGGACCUUCUGUACAAGAACCCGGGCGGAUUCUCAGCUGUGCUCCCAUCUCUGCAGGAGAGGAGAGUGUGGUGGAGAGAGCAUUUCCUGCCAGGUUCUGGGGUUUCUGCUCUCCACCCUGAAGUCCCACAGCCCUGA